AUACGUAGGGUGCAAGCGUUAAUCGGAAUUACUGGGCGUAAAGCGAGCGCAGGCGGUUUUAUAAGACAGAGGUGAAAUCCCCGGGCUCAACCUGGGAACUGCCAUUGUGACUGCAAGGCUGGAGUGCGGCAGAGGGGGAUGGAAUUCCGCGUGUAGCAGUGAAAUGCGUAGAUAUGCGGAGGAACACCGAUGGCGAAGGCAAUCCCCUGGGCCUGCACUGACGCUCAUGCACGAAAGCGUGGGGAGCAAACAGGAUUAGAUACCCUGGUAGUCCACGCCCUAAACGAUGUCAACUGGUUGUUGGGGAUUUAUUUUCUCAGUAACGAAGCUAACGCGUGAAGUUGACCGCCUGGGGAGUACGGCCGCAAGGUUAAAACUCAAAGGAAUUGACGGGG
rnacentral:rRNA from 1 species